GAAAUGCGAUACUUGGUGUGAAUUGCAGAAUCUCGCGAACCAUCGAGUCUUUGAAUGCAAGUUGCGCCCGAAGCCAUUAGGUUGAGGGCAUGUCUGCCUGGGCAUCUUACGUUGCGUCGCCCGCGCCCCCUCCCACCCUCCACGAAGGGGAGAAGAAGGGCUGCGGGCAGAUGUUGGCCCCCCGCGUUCCCCCGCGCGUUGUCGGCCCAAAAGUGAGUCCCCCGCGAUGGACGACAAACCGUUGCGUCGCCUCACGCGUGUCCGGUCCGUCACGAGAGGCCUAUCGUGACCCUAUCGCGCCGCCGCCAAGGCGCUCCGAUCGUGACCCCAGGUCAGGCGGGAUUACCCGAUGAGUUUAA
rnacentral:misc_RNA from 1 species